rnacentral:tRNA from 1 species
ACGGUAAGUUUAAUUAGCAGAGCACCAGACUCUUAAUCUGGUGGUUCUUAGGUUCAAGCACUGGGCGGCGUACCA